rnacentral:rRNA from 1 species
UACGUAGGGUGCGAGCGUUGUCCGGAAUUAUUGGGCGUAAAGAGCUUGUAGGCGGUUUGUCGCGUCUGCUGUGAAAAUCUGGGGCUCAACCCCGGACUUGCAGUGGGUACGGGCAGGCUAGAGUGUGGUAGGGGAGACUGGAAUUCCUGGUGUAGCGGUGGAAUGCGCAGAUAUCAGGAGGAACACCGAUGGCGAAGGCAGGUCUCUGGGCCACUACUGACGCUGAGAAGCGAAAGCAUGGGGAGCGAACAGG